UGCCUUAUAUUAUUUGUGGGAAAUGAAAUUUCACAAGAUAAGAUUGAAACUGCUAGUGCGCAUUCAAAUUUUGUUUAAAAGAAAGGAAACUAAUUAAUAAAAAAAUUGUAAUUAUCAUUACAGCCCUCGAUUUCCUAAUGUUCCAAUCGGUGUUCAAAAAUUGAAAAUGGAAAGGUGGAGAUUGUGUUUUCGCGCAGGGAAUUAGGGAAACCAUGAGAAGCGUGACAACGCGCAAAUCUAAUGUCCUUAUUUCUGAGGGAGAUGGUAGUGGUGUAAUCGAUGAUGCAGGAUGUGGUGGAGAGAGAGAGAGAGAGAGAGAGAGAGAGAGAGGGAGAGGCAGGGAUUGAGAUAAACUCUAGGGAUGAUGAUCGUAUCGGUGGCCCUCCCUUGCGAUGAUUAUUGCUUCAUCUGUUUCGGUUGCUUCAUCUGUUUUGGUGCCUUCACUUUCCCUUGCAAAGCCAAUUGCGGCCGCUGGAUUUGUGAAAUGCAUUAGCUAGAUUCUUUUAGAACCAUGGAGAGGGAGAUUGCAGGAACUACAAGCUUUAUUGAAUUUACAUUCAGCUUGUGAUUCUGAUGGGGCUUGCCAAGAGCAGAAUGAUUAUAUCCAUAUUUUCAACUCGAUAUUGAAGGUCUGUAAAUCUUAUUGCUUCCAUUAUAUCAAUUUAUUCUUUCUUAAGCAAUUGCUGAUAGUAUUGCUUAUAUUUGGAUACUUUAUAAAGUUAUCUUACUCAAUUAGACCCAUUAAUUUAAAUAGUUCAUCUCAAUCUGCAGUAGUUAUUUGAUGACCAUUGUGUAGCUAGAGCUAGCAAAAUUUGAAUCCAUCUUCUUACAUUUGAUAGCAGAUGCUAAUAGAGCAUCAAAUUUACCAUGGUUUUUUUUUUUUCAAAAUUUUUUAUUUUAUUUUAUUUCUUCUCUAAAAUAAGAGCAUAUCUUGAUGGUUUGCUGCAUUUGGAUUACAUAGCUAUUCCUUGUUUAAUAUGGUGGUUGUUUCUUUUCUGGUGAAUGUUUUCAUCCAGCCUAAUUAUUUGCAAAAUUUUGUUCAAUCAAAUAUUCAAUGCCCUGACGACAAAAAAAGUUAAGAGGUAGGAUUCUGUUUCGUUUUGUGGCUCUCUUAGAAUUAAGAGGUAGAUUUUUGUCAUUUGUGUUGUGUGUUAUUUUUCAUCAUUAAUUUUAAUAAAUUCUCCUGCAUGACUUGAUUGCAUUUUGCAUAAGAUUGUUGUUUUAUUUCAUUUUUUAUUUCGUUUUCUUUAUAUUUGUCGAUUGGUGUACUCGUAUGGACAAUAGCUUGACAUGCAUUUAACAACUAUUUGGACGUACUUUUUUUUUUUGGGUUAAUUCUCUGUACUUUAAUGGGUUGUCUUCUGCUUUCACUAAUUUAUCUCAUUCUCACUUUGUAGGUUAUUGGGUUGGAGUCUGCAGGAAAGACCGUAAUUCUUAAUUAGCCCGUUAUUUAAAAAUAAAUGGAUUUUUAGUGCUUUAAUAUAUGAUAAAGAUGACAAUAUAUGGGAUUUUUUGUACUUUAAUUGCUCUGCAAGUGUAUAAUUUAUACUGUAAUGUGUUAAAUUUAUGAAUAAUUUGAUAAAUAUAUCAAUUUUUCUAAUA